GCGAACGGGUGAGUAACACGUGGGCAAUCUGCCCUGCACUCUGGGACAAGCCCUGGAAACGGGGUCUAAUACCGGAUAUGAGUUCCUUCCGCAUGGUGGGGACUGUAAAGCUCCGGCGGUGCAGGAUGAGCCCGCGGCCUAUCAGCUUGUUGGUGAGGUAAUGGCUCACCAAGGCGACGACGGGUAGCCGGCCUGAGAGGGCGACCGGCCACACUGGGACUGAGACACGGCCCAGACUCCUACGGGAGGCAGCAGUGGGGAAUAUUGCACAAUGGGCGAAAGCCUGAUGCAGCGACGCCGCGUGAGGGAUGACGGCCUUCGGGUUGUAAACCUCUUUCAGCAGGGAAGAAGCGAGAGUGACGGUACCUGCAGAAGAAGCGCCGGCUAACUACGUGCCAGCAGCCGCGGUAAUACGUAGGGCGCAAGCGUUGUCCGGAAUUAUUGGGCGUAAAGAGCUCGUAGGCGGCUUGUCGCGUCGGUUGUGAAAGCCCGGGGCUUAACCCCGGGUCUGCAGUCGAUACGGGC
rnacentral:rRNA from 1 species